AGUUCACAUAGACCAGGCUUCCUCUUUAGAGGCAUAAGCUGUAAAACAGGAGAGUCUGUUUUAAGAGGAUCUGUUUGAAGUUUAAUGUAACUGAAGUCCAUGCACCUGAAGCCAUUAAUUGAUAUAAGUGAAGUAAGUCUUUGGGUUUCCGGUAGCUCUGACUCAGAUUCUGCUUGCCUCUUCUCCAUGAGAUUACCAAGGCAUCAGGGCAGAGACUCCCUGAGGAUGAGUGGAUCUGGUUCAGAACAUCUGUGAACACAGAGGGAGUGGAAACUUCACUUUCAACAUCAUCAGCCAACUUCCCUCCCAUUACAAUUCUAUCUCAAGAUCAAGGUCAUGCAACAAAACCAGCAGCUUCUUCAAGUGGACUCUCUCUCCAGAAACAUCGUCUGGGCCUUCCUACAGCAUGGCAGCUGGGUUCCUGAAGAACAAAAGCAGAACUUUCCAAACGCUUAAAGGGCUAGGUCUGGAGCUGCACAGCUUCACAUCUGCCACGUGGUAUUGGCCAAAGCAAGUGACAAGGGCACUCCAAAUUCAAGGGAAGGGGAAAACAGAUUCCACCUUUGAUUGGAGGAAUAGCAGGAGAGCAUAGUGAGGGAAGAAGUUGAUGGUCCUCCUUGAAAACUACCUAACACAUUGGGUAAUAUUUAGCAGUGUCUCAUUUUCCCAUUGGCAGGAAUCGCUCACUAUUUCAUGACAUACGGUCACAAAUAAAAAGUACUGCCAAUAGCUUUGUUCUCGCCAAAGAAUGGAGUGGCUGAGCACAUGAAAAAUAGCAUAUCACCUAAAUGUAUACAAAUCAAUGCCCAUAGUGCCUUUACCACUGUAUUAUUACUAUGGUCUUUGGAUAAACAAAAAUACAUGUUUUUAAAUGCACAA
ensembl:lncRNA novel transcript